AGCAGCCGCGGUAAAUUCCAGCUCCAAUAGCGUAUAUUAAAGUUGUUGCAGUUAAAAAGCUCGUAGUUGAAUUUUAGGCCUGGCCGGAUGGUCCGUCUUUGGCGAGUACUGUUCUGUCGUCGGGUCUAUCCUUCUGGUGAGCCGGGAUGCCCUUUAUUGGGUGUGUCGGGGAACCAGGACCAUUACCUUGAAAAAAUUAGAGUGUUUAAAGCGGGCAUUUGCUUGAAUAGAUUAGCAUGGAAUAAUAGAAUAGGACGUUGGUUCUAUUUUGUUGGUUUUAGGACCACCGUAAUGAUUAAUAGGGAUAGUUGGGGGCAUUAGUAUUCAAUUGUCAGAGGUGAAAUUCUUGGAUUUAUUGAAGACUAACUAUUGCGAAAGCAUUUGCCAAGGAUGUUUUCAU
rnacentral:rRNA from 1 species